CACACAUCAAUUUGCUGCAAAGUCAUUUUUAGCUGAUAACAUCACAGCCUAGAUUUGAAAUAUCUUCACUAUAGGCAUGGUAACAGCCCUUGCACUUGUGGGCUGAGCAUCAUUCUACAUUAGCCAGGGACGUCAGCAGCAAAAAAGGAGGGAGGGAGGGAUUCAGCAAGCAGAAGAGUGAGGGGAUAGGUCCCCGCUGCAGGGGGAGUACGCAGGCAGAGGACAGCUGCAGGAGAUGUCAGAGGUGAGGCAGAGAGGCUGAUCCUGCCUGGAGCUGCUGAGGAGGCCGAUCUCAUGCAGGCCUGCGGGGACGCCAAGAGAGCCGUGAGCAGACCAAACCCCCAGUAGGUUGCAAGUUGGGGGGAGCGACUCGGUGGAGGCAGGAACAGAUCCUCCACCAAGGAAGGGUCCUAUGCAGCACUCCCGAGGGCAAGGCGCCAUCUAAGCAAUGGGAAUGGAGUACCCAGAGUCUGCACAGCUGAGGGCUGCAGCAGCCUCUGCCUCAGGAGCCCAUGCCAUCAAAACAGAGCAGACAGCAGCGGCCUCUUCCUUAACACAGCAGUUCAAGAAACCAAGACUACGAGGCUCAUCGGGUCCUGCUCCAGUUCAGCAGACAGCGUUUGGCACAGAGACAGAUUCACACCAGAGCUUGAAUCUCCCGACCGUGGGACAGAAUCCUUCCGUCGACCCAGUUCCUAUCUCUCAGAGAGGUGGAUUUGCUACAGCGAUGGAAGAAUGCCUGCCGUCGGCUGCAGCACUGCGAGUGCAGACACAGCCUUACUGCAAAACCCCUGGUAGCACUUUACACCCAGUUUGCCGUGGAGAUCUAAAAAUGGGUGAUCGGCACAGGGUGGGUUUCCAAGGCAGUUGUUUUCCGAGCUGUAAUUUUAAACCUGUUUCAGAGUAAUGAGCCGUUAACAAGACAUCGAUUACUUAUGCAAAUUAAUGGAAGUGGGCAGCGUGGGGGGUUUCAGAGGAGGCUGCUUCUUGCCCUGUCCAUGCGGCUACGCUAAAUCACUGAGCUUGUAGCGUCAGUUCUGAACGGCUUGGACACGCGCCCUCUCCAGCAGCGGGGAACUGUCUAGGGCUGAAAACGCUUACUCCUGCGAGGAACGCAGCUGAGUUCAACAGGAUCACAUCCGAUGAGGUGAGCUGUAGCGCACGGAAGCUCAUGCUCAAAUAAAUUUGUUAGUCUCUAGGGUGCCACAAGUCCUCCUGUUCUUUUUGCGGAUACAGACUAACACGGCUACUCCUCUGAAACAUGCCUGAAAUGGGCGGCUCUAAGAUCCCAGACUUGGUACGUGUCAUUAACGCCAGGCCAAAGGGAGUGCAAAGGACUACCACCUCUGAUUAGGCAGCGUUUCACUCCUGAAUUGUCUGCUGUAAACCGUGGGAGAAGGGCAACACAAAACCAGGCCCUGAGUAUUUGCAGAACAUAAGAACCACUAUACUGGGUCAGACCAAAAGUCCAUCUAGCUCAGUGCCCCAGAGGGAAUGAACAGAACAGGGAAUCAUCAAGUGAUCCAGGCCUUUUGGAGCCCAACUGGCAAAUGUCACACACUUCCUGGGUGAGCCUGGGCAACUGCCUCAGAGCCACAGGUCUGUCUCAAUGGAAAUAAGAAAAAAGAAAAGGAGGACUUGUGUCACCUUAGAGACUAACCAAUUUAUUUGAGCAUAAGCUUUCGUGAGCUACAGCUCACUUCAUCGGAUGCAUAAAGUGCUUAUGCUCAAAUAAAUUGGUUAGUCUCUAAGGUGCCACAAAUCCUCCUUUUCUUUUUGCGAAUACAGACUAAUACGGCUGCUACUCUGAAACCUGUCAAUGGAAAUAAGACUUCCUUUCUCCCACCCUUGGUCUGUCUUUUCUUUUUAGACUGCAAGCCACAGAAUAGGGCCCCAAAACUGAUCGGGACCACUAGACAUUACCGUAAUUCACAUAAUAAGUUAGCGGUGAUAGGCUUAGGGUCACUAACAGAGAUCAAGGGUCCGAGUCUGUGGCAAGUGAAAGACCAGUCCAGACACAAAGCGAAGCAAGUCUUCAGGGCGAUGGCUCUUGGCUGCACACUGCAGCAGGACUCAAAGGGUUACGAAAGCAUUUGCAGCCUCAUCUGCAUGUCUAUACAGAUCAGGGAGGGAGGGCUGGCAAGGGGAUAAUUAGCCCAACCGGAUUCAAGCCGCCUUGAGUCACAGACAGGGACGGACAGAUGCCAGACGAGAAACCUGGGAUGAGUACCUCCAAUUUUCAGAGGGCUGGUAACGGGCUGAGGACUGGGGAAAACUUGUGACUAGAAAGGAGUUGCAGGUCUCCACCCAGAGCAUGGAAAAAUUAACGCUUGAAGGGAAUGAAGAAUCCCAGCGCUACUGAAAUCUUAAAUAUCAGCUCCAAAGCCCUUCUCCCUUCUCUCAGCCACGAGCUCAGUUAUGCUUGGCCGGACGAUCCCCUCCCCAGCCCUUUACCUCUUUCAGGGGAGCUACAGAACUCUCGAGAUCGUGAGCAGUUUCUGCCUUGCGGUCAUUAGAGAUCAUUAUAAUUAUCAUCUGUCUAUCAUAGUGCCCAGAAGCCCUAGUCAUGAACCAGGACCCCACUGCACUAGGUGCUGCAUGCACAAAGAACAAAAAGAGAGUCCCUGCCCCAAGGAGAUCAGGGAUGACCCACAUUUCUGAAUCCGCAGCCAAUCACCCCAUCCCACCAGGAAUGAGGGUUAAAAGGAAAAGUGUUUCUGCUGGUCACUGUGGAGCAAGGUUAUGGAUCGCCGCCAUAUGAAGCCUUCCGACCUAUAGCUUUCCAGGUAGCUCUUUCUCUCCUCACCAUGCCCAGAGAAGGAUGGCGGGAGGGAUACAGAAGCAUUGGCAUGAUAUUGUUGUAACUGACUUGCGGCUCUGUAACUCAUGCCCGUGACCCAGGAGAGGAAGCAAAAUGCUGUUCUCGAUGAGAGCGCAAGGACCGAACCAGGAGGCUAGAUUCCCGCACACCCACUGGAAUCCACAAAACCGCUUCCAAUUCUGAGCAGCUCAGAACUCAUCGGGUCACGUAAGCCAUUAAACAGCUCAAACUUCACAGCUCCAGCUGCGGUGCGCAGCCAUUCCCCCUCUGGCAUCUAGAGCUCACAGGCUAUGCAAAGACAGGCCUGGCUGGUUCAAGAACUGGGCCAGAUGCCCCAAGAUGCAGGAGGUGCCACUUUUCAGAGGUGAUCCCAAGCCACAACCACUUGUGUGCUUUAAAGGUCCCGGGGGUACUUGUCACAAGAGCACGGGGAAGUUAUACCCAGAGGCAGCGUGGCCUAGUGGAUGGAGCACAAGACGGGGCGCAGGGAACCCUGGCUUACAAUCCUAGCUCUUGGGCCAGUCAUUUCACCAUCUGUAAAAUGGAGACUCGUUAUCAUUCACUGCAAGGAUUAGGUUUGUAAAGGGCUUUCAGAAUACAAAGUGCUAGAAAGUCCUAGCUACCACUCUCAUCAUUAACUGAUGUCCUUGGUAGAGUCCACACUCCGGCCUGCCUAGAGCCCCCUUCCAGCUUGCAGUUUCAAAUGGAUACAGCAUUCUUCUUCACUCCCUCUCCCAGCGCCUUGCUGUGUGCUGUUGUACGCAGCGGCUGCGCCCCAGUCUGCAAAGAGCUGCAUUUUAGCAGGGCAUGAAGCGAUUCUGGAAAAGCCCUUCGGGAUCUUUAAGGACGACAGGGUGGUCGAGAAAGAUAAAACAUUGUGAACUUUAGUGACAGUGGGACUCUCACACCCUAUUCAAGGGGAAAACACCCUGGGCCCAGAUCCACAAAAGUAUUCAGGCACCUAACUCUCAUUGAUGCCAGUAGGAUUUAGGAACCUAAAUUCUGAGGCUGAGGGCCCAUCUACCAGCUGAAUAACUCUCUUGCAGCGCAGGGGCAGGGGCAACCUUUGCUGGCAAGAAACUUACCCUUGCCACCGUUUGUGACUCGGAGCUGUCCACAUCCGUGGGGCUUUCCCACCAGCGGCACUCCGCCUCCAAGCUUCACCACAGCUGCUGAUGAAAGGACUGACUCAAAGAUUUACUGGUGACCUCGAAGGCCCCCCGAGAGACUCCCUCCUCAGCCUCCGUGCUCGUCAGCCAGGUUCCUGCUGCUCAACCACCUCUCCCGUACAGUAAAUCAGACAGGGGUGGGUGUGGGCAGAACGUGUUCGACAGCUAAUUCCCCUCCGCUGGGGAGUUUGGGCACAGGCCGCCAGGAGCAGGAGAGGUUGUGGUUUCUCAGUGGAGCGGCCAAGUGGCCUCAUGCAUCAGUUCCCGCGCCUUGGGAAAUGGGAGAUGUUGCAUUGCAACUCUCCUAUUCCCCCCAUUCCUGCGACUGCCAGAAGAAGAACUAGAGGGGAAACAAUACAGUGGAAGUCAGGCUAUUCCCUUUCAACUGGGCUCAGUCCUUAUCUUCAAAGCGCUCCCCAUCCUGGGCCCAGGCCGUGAACAGACCGGUUAGCGCUGCAGGACCGUGGUUGACAACUCCGCUCCUCUGGUACAAUGGAAUCCUCGACAAUAAGAAUAAAGCUUGUCCGUGCGGGAGACGGAACCUUCUUCGGGGUGGUCCAAGGCUGUGGAGUGAACUCCUCCCAUAACCGAGCACCUGGUCUGUACUGGAGCAACCAAGCUACCCCCAGCAUAGGUGCUGACUCUGUGGGUGCUCCAGGGCUGGAGCACCCACGGGGAAAAAUGAGUGGGUGCUCUGCACCCACUGGCAGCCAAGCUCCCCGCCCUACCCCCUCCUCCGCCUACCUCCCAGCUCUUGCCUCCGCCAAACAGCUGUAGCAAUCUCCGGGAGGGAGGGGGGAGGAGCGGGAACGUGGCCUGCUCGGGAGGA